rnacentral:rRNA from 1 species
GAUGAACGCUAGCGGCAGGCUUAAUACAUGCAAGUCGAGGGGCAGCAUGUCCCGAGCAAUCGGGAUGAUGGCGACCGGCAAACGGGUGCGGAACACGUACAGAACCUUCCUUCGAGCGGGGAAUAGCCCAGAGAAAUUUGGAUUAAUACCCCAUAGCAUAACGGAGUGGCAUCACUUUGCUAUUAAAGAUUUAUCACUUGAAGAUGGCUGUGCGGCUGAUUAGGUAGUUGGCGGGGUAACGGCCCACCAAGCCUGCGAUCAGUAACUGGUGUGAGAGCACGACCAGUCACACGGGCACUGAGACACGGGCCCGACUCGUACGGGAGGCAGCAGUAAGGAAUAUUGGUCAAUGGACGAAAGUCUGAACCAGCCAUGCCGCGUGGAGGAUGAAGGCCCUCUGGGUCGUAAACUUCUUUUAUAUGGGACGAAAAUGGGACUUUCUAGUUCAACUGACGGUACCAUGUGAAUAAGCACCGGCUAACUCCGUGCCAGCCGCCGCUGUAAAAC